AUAGAGGUUCAGAAUGCGCUGAUAUAGUGAGGAGACGUCUGGGCGUCAAGUUCUGCAGUGAGAACAUUUAGCUGGACCUGGCGGAACUCCGCUGUGCUCUGCUCUCCUCCUAUGAGAAAGCUCACCAAAAGUUACAAGCUCUCCACUAUGCCCAGGACAACAAGGCAGGAAGACAAACGUCAGAUAACACCCACAGGCUCCUAAAUAUUUUUUAUAAUGGUGCUUUCCAAUGGAUCACUCUCUAGGGAGUUUGCAAUCACGAACAGCUCGAGACAGAGACCACUUAUAGAUAGCACGGCAUAUAAGGACCAUAUUUACCCCCAGAAUGCAGCUACUGAAGAAAGAAGGAGCCUCCUGAAACGUGUUUAGCCGUUCAGUUUAUUGCAUCCCCCAUGAUAAUUUACUAGGGGACCUUCCCUACAGAGCAUAAAAGAACAUUAUUAAUAUUGGUUUAGCCAAUUCAAAACCAGCUUUUUUUUUUCUUCCCCUUUGAGCGCACUCAGAAACACUUUCAGACACCGCCAGCGCAAACACAAGGAUUUGGUGAGCAAGCCCCAACAUCGCCCAAGAGGAUUUUACUCACAAGCCUGGAUACCAGGAUAUCGCUUCUGCUCUCAAGCGCUCGCCAAACGGGACUGUUUGCCUAACCAGUGACUGCCGAGAGCAGUGCGAGCUCGAGGGUGGACUUACCAACCAAGUGCCCGGCCGGACAGGUGAGCAGGACAUAGUCCCACAAUCUUUCUACUCACAGGAUCACAAGCUGCAUAGCUAUCAUCAUCAAUUGAUGCCUGGCAAUGGAGGCAUCGCAUAAACUGCCAUCACUGUGAGUGCACUGCAUUUCUUGAACUCAAAGAGAAACCCAUCUUUCCACAGGAUUGUAUUUUUCUUACAGGACUGAGAUUGUUGCACUGCCUGCCACUAUCUUUCCACAGGAAUAUCCGUGAUAAUACGGACACUUUAUCUGUAGGACAUUACCUCAUCCACAUUUAGGGGGAUUGCAUUAAUUUAUUUGUUUUAUUGCUUAUUUACCUUGUGUUAUUAAAUUUUUGUACUGAUUUUAGGUGGGAAUCGCAAGGGCCCUUUGAUACCCUUGUGUAUUUUAUUAGUGAUAAAUUCACAUAUUUACUUGUUGCACUUGAUUACUGGUCAGAUAUUUCUCUUUUCGUACUCCUCUGAUUUCUCUUCACCUCUCUUUCCCCUUCCACCAUUUUCCCUCUUUCCCUCUUGUUCUAUAUACUCAGCACUCCCUCUGCUUCUUUCUGAAUUAUAUCUUCAUUGUAAGUUCAUCCCCAGAACUAGUAUUAUACUAUUACCUAUACUCCCAUUCGCAUUGGUAUCACUACUAUUACCAUUCUACCCACGGUGUUCCAGUUUUUCCUUAUAGAGAAUUAUAUUAUCUUUUUGUUAAUUCCCAAUUGACAUAAUAAGAACAUUUCUGUUAGCCUAAUAUCCAAAUAUGAACCUUACAAAACAUUUUAUCCAAUAUUUUGUUUAACUAAACAUUAAAUAUUUCCACUACUGAAAGUCUGCAAAAUGAUUAUUAACCAAUGCAAGGAUGUGGCGGUACACAUCUAGUUGCUAUGGCUA